rnacentral:misc_RNA from 1 species
CAAAUCUUUGGAGAGCUGUGUGCCGUUUACGGUGCGCAGUGACUCUACAUUAGCACAGGGUCGCAAGACUCUGAUGUUUACGCUUGUUUGUUUGACAGAGUUAGUUGAGAAUAAUAAAAGA